AUUCGCAUUUCGAGUUAAUUAUAGAAUAAAUCGUAGCGUGAAUGGAUAAUGAGAGGACAAAUGCUUCCUUUAUCUGAUUUCCUGAACAAGCAGGUUACUGCCAAUGUUAGCCGUUCUUCUAACUGUCGAUCACUGCUGUUAAAGAUGUCGAAUGUUUCAGAUGUUUGUCUACCUUUGAGUGCAGGUGAGGACGUGUUCGAGCUGCUCCUUGUGAUUUCCAUUACAAGACCCAUUUACCAAGACCAGGUGCUCCAGUGUACAGCCGAGAAGGGUUCUUCUUUUGUGUUUAAUAUGGCGGUUGUCAAAGCAGAGGUGGUUCUGUUCUUCUUCCUUACGACGUGUCAAACCCUACAGGCAUUCAAGGUUGGGGCGGCGACAAAAUGGCGCCGUGUUAGCAGUUUCAAUAAAAUAAUUCAAUAAAAAACAGAGAGACAAAGUACACCUGGCUGAGCCUGCAGAAUGGGCUGUUACAAUAUCUUCAGUUCCUGAAAUAUUCCGUCCCACUGGUGGCGCUUACACAAAUAUUCAUGAUAUUCUCCUAUUGUGUGCGUGUCCUUGAGACAACGCACAAGCAAAUGAAACUGAAAAUAUUAGUACACGCUCCUCAAAUUGCAACUGUUUAAUAGAUUAUUUCGAAAAGGUAAUAAAAUAUUCCUUUGGAAUAUAAACCCUUCGUUUUGAUGACAGUCUUCAUGCCAGCAGCUACUUAAAGAAUGAUAUUUUUGUUUAAAAUAUUAUAAUUAUGAUAGGAAAUUAUAGUUUAGUUUCGUUUUAUUUAAAGGCAGCACGAAACCCUGAAAUGUGUCAAACAUAACACAUACUCAAACAACCUUAUGUAGCCUACCUGAUAUAAAACAAUUUCAAAACCAGUCAAAUAAAAUAAUUGUGAUAAUAAUAUAAUUUUUUUCUGAGAUAAUACAGCACAAAUACACAGAAAAAAUAGACAGCUACUUUACAAGAUGACGUUAUACUUGUUAAUAUCACCAAUGUCAUAAUAUGGUUUUGUUUUGCUUUUGUGAUUUUCCACAUUAUACUCAUCAAUCAUCUGGUAAAGUCACUGUCUGUUUCAGACUGGAUGUGAGAGCUGAAGUCUUGGAUAGCUCUGGCAGUGUGUGAUCCGGACAUCCAUGAAGGCUGUUCCCGAGUGCCAAGGCCCUGUUUUAAUAUUUACCUCAGAACCUCACGUUUAGCAUUGCUUCUUUUCACACAUUGUUUUGAAUGUCUUUUCAAUUUGUGUUACAUUCAUAGAGUAAUAACUUAUGUACUUGUUAUAACAUUCAAUGUAUUAAUAUUUAUAUAGGCUAACUGGAUUUGUUUUUGUUUGUUUGUUUGUUUGUUUGUUUUGUGUUUUUUUAAAACACAAAUAAAGAAAAGUCAAUUUUCAGGAUAAUAUUUUAAAGAUAAUUUUGUGCAUUCCAAAUAAGCUUUGCAGAUCUUUAGAAAAGGUCUUAACAAUGUUUGUCAUGUUUUUCGAUUAUUUCACAUGUACCUAUAGGUCAGUCAAGGUCACGGUUACAAUAACUUAGGACACUAAAGAGACCUUUCUACUGACUCUGAAAAACACCAGAAUAAAGAAGCCCAGGGUCUCUGAUCACCUGUGUGGACGUGCCUUAAUCCUGCUGCAGGAGGCAAGAGGACUGCAGAUGUGAACAGAGCAAUAAACUGCAAUGUCUGUAAUGUAAGAUGCCUGAGACAGUGCUAAAGGGAGACAGAAGGACAGCUGAUUGUCCUUCCAGUGCCAAACCACAUGUGACCAUAAGUCCCCCCAGACAUGUUUGAGAAUGUGAAAUGCCUUGAUGGAAGAGUGGAGUAACAUCUCACAGCAAGAGCUGCAAAUCUGGUGCUGCAUGAGGAUGAGAUGCUCUGUAAAGCAGCUGAUGCCACUUCAGACUUUCAGAUGUUCAUCAAACGUCUGUGAAAUUUGUUCACUUUAUGUCUCAGUUGUUGAAUCUUUUUGUUUGUACAAAUAUUACACGUUGAGUAAUUUGCUGGAAAAACAGCUGAAAAAUGUGCACCAAUAUUGAUUGAAUAAUAAUCAAGAAAUUAAGGUUGACAUCGAAUAUUCACACCAGUCUAUAGCUUAUUUUUAUUAGGACACAGAUACAUUUGUAGAGGUUUAUUUCAAGUUGUCAACACUAUGCAGUACUGUAGUCACAGAAUGACAAUGAAGGAAGCAGACUAAUCAAACUAUUCGAGAACUUUCUAAAUCCUCAAAUAAAUAAUAAUAAUAAUUUAAAAAAAAAAAAAGCUAAACAGAAAACACAUCAGUGUAAAACACGGUUAUUGGCUUAUGUUUGCUCUGCUGUAUCCUUACGUUAAUUGUUUAUCUGAAUGCCUGUGCUUUACUCAAUUAGCUCAGGCGAUUUAUCAUAUUAUGCAUUGUUUUGUACAUGUGAACUGUUGACUAACAUUGGAUAUUUUAUUACCUUUUCAAAAAUAAUCCAUUAAACCGAUGUGUUUUGA